UACAGAGGUCCCGAGCGUUGUUCGGAUUCACUGGGCGUAAAGGGUGCGUAGGUGGUCGGGUAAGUUUGAUGUGAAAGCUCUGGGCUCAACCCAGAAAUGGCAUUGAAUACUAUUCGGCUAGAGGAGUGGAGGGGGGACUGGAAUACUUGGUGUAGCAGUGAAAUGCGUAGAUAUCAAGUGGAACACCAGUGGCGAAGGCGAGUCCCUGGACACUUCCUGACACUGAGGCACGAAAGCUAGGGGAGCAAACAGG
rnacentral:rRNA from 1 species